rnacentral:misc_RNA from 1 species
AAGUCGUAACAAGGUCUCCGUAGGUGAACCUGCGGAGGGAUCAUUAACAAAGCAAGGUGUUCAGGAAAGAGGCGACUGCGUAGCAGGAGCGUCUUUUCUGAAUUCCCAAACACAUGAUGCCACCAAUGGUUGGAUUUCAAUUGUUGGUGGCACACAUACAUUCACAUUUCUACAACAACCACUUCAACUAAAUACAAACAACAACUUUUAACAAUGGAUCUCUUGGCUCUU